UUCAGUGGCGAUAGCUACGAGGGUCCACCUGUUCCCAUCUCGAACACAGUUAGAUUAAGCUCGUAAACGCCGAAAGUACUUGGCUGGAGACGGCCUGGGAGGAUAGGAAGUCGCUGAUU
rnacentral:rRNA from 1 species